rnacentral:rRNA from 1 species
GUAGGUGGCAAGCGUUGUCCGGAAUUAUUGGGCGUAAAGCGCGCGCAGGCGGGUUCUUUAAGUCUGAUGUGAAAGCCCACGGGCUCAACCGUGGAGGGUCAUUGGAAACUGGAGAACUUGAGUACAGAAGAGGAAAGCGGAAUUCCACGUGUAGCGGUGAAAUGCGUAGAGAUGUGGAGGAACACCAGUGGCGAAGGCGGCUUUCUGGUCUGUAACUGACGCUGAGGCGCGAAAGCGUGGGGAGCAAACAGGAUUAGAUACCCUGGUAGUCCACGCCGUAAACGAUGAGUGCUAAGUGUUAGGGGGUUUCCGCCCCUUAGUGCUGCAGCUAACGCAUUAAGCACUCCGCCUGGGGAGUACGGCCGUAAAGGCUG